GACGAAAUGGCUGAUUAAGGUGAUAAAUUGUAAAUUUAUUUAUGAGAGGGAUCUCUUUCGUCA
rnacentral:tRNA from 1 species